rnacentral:lncRNA from 1 species
UAAACAAGAGGCUGUCACAACGACAGCAAACCGGAUUUAUUUACAUUUAUUUGUGUCCUGGCAAUAUCAGAUGAUUUCAUUACUGAUGAAUGGUGAAAGUGAAAAUCAUCAAUAUCAAAUUUGACCUCUAUUUUGUCAUCAGUAUCAACAUUUUGAAAUAAUAAUAUUUGAAAAGCUUAGAUUGAAUGGUUCAUGAGUAAAUGCAACAACGUGAAUGGAAACGCCAUUUUACGAUCUUUCAAGAACCAUAACUCCUGAACAGUAAAAGUCAAAAUCGUCAUUAUGGAACUUGACCUCUAUUUUGUCAUCAGUAACAACAUAUUAAAAUUUCAAAAGCUUUGGUUGAAUGGUUCAUGAGAAAAUGCAUGGACACGACGGGAAACACCAUUUUCAAUCUUUCAAGAACCAUAACUCCUGAACGGUAAAAGUCAAAAUCGUCAUUAUUGAACUUGACCUCCAUUUUGUCAUCAGUAACAGCAUAUUAAAAUUUCGGAAGCUUUGGUAGAACAGUUCAUGCAUAAAUGCACGGACACGACUGGAAACUCCAUUUUUCAAUCUUUCAAGAACCAUAACUCCUGAACGGUAAAAGUCAAAAUCGUCAUUAUUAAACUUGACCUCCAUUCUGUCAUCAGUAACAACAUAUUAAAAUUUGGGAAGCUUUGGUAGAACAGUUCAUGAGUAAAUGCACGGACACGACUGAAAACUCCAUUUUUCAAUCUUUCAAGAACCAUAACUCCUGAACGGUAAAAGUCAAAAUCGCAAUUAUUGAACUUGACCUCCGUAUAGUUGUCAGUAAUAACAUAUUAAAAUUUUAAAAGCUUUGGUUGAACGGUUCAUGAGUUAAUGCACGGACAACAUUUGAUUGCCGCCUUUCAAGAACCAUAACUCCUGAACGGUAAAAGUCAAAAUCGCCAUUAUUG